UACAGAGACCUCAAGCGUUAUCCGGAAUCAUUGGGCGUAAAGCGUGCCGAUAGGUGGUUUGGUUAGCUUGGGUGAAAUCCCGAAGCUCAACUUCGGGUUUGCUUAAGAUACUGCCAGACUAGAGGGGCAAAGAGGAGACUGGAACGAACGGUGUAGUAGUGAAAUGCGUUGAUAUCGUUCGGAAACACCGAAGCGAAGGCAGGUCUCUGGGUGCCUCCUGACACUGCUAGGGACGAGAGGCGUGGGUAGCGAAUGGG
rnacentral:rRNA from 1 species